rnacentral:lncRNA from 1 species
AUGCCUCUCUGCGUCCUUCCCCCAAGAGCUGGUCCCAAACCUCUGCCCACCUCCUGCUGGGUCUGCCCUGGGAUGCCCCUGAUGUGUCCCAUCCCCAGGCUGUGCUGGCACCUGGGUGGCCCCUCCAGGGACAGAAGGGACAGGGACAUUUCUCAGGGCUGCUCUGCACACCUCGGCCCCAGCCUGGAGAAACAUCGGGGACACAUCGGGGUGGAGGUGCCUCUCAUCCCCUGCACGGGCUGGGGCAGCUCGGGGGCUUUUCUUUGUGUCCUCCAGGUGCGAUGGGACAGAAUUUGGGAGCAAAACGUGUGGGCAGGCGGCUGUCCCCUCCCCACAUCCCCACAUCCUGCUGGUGUGGACGGAGAGGGGCUGGAAGGAGAGGUGAGCGGGGAGGAAAGGAGAGGUGGAAAAGUCUCCCCCAGAUCUUUUUUCGUUUGUCCUUCUUUGAUCCUUCUUUAUUUUUUCCUUCUUUUACUCCCUCUUUACUUUUUUCUUUUUUUAUUCCCUCUUUAUUUUUUCCUUCUUUAUUCCGUCUUUACUUUUUCCUUCUUCUUUUCCUUUCCUUUUUUUUUUUCUUUUUUUUUUUUUUUCUUUUUUUUUCUCCUUUCUCUCCGUACCCCCCCAUCCAAAUUAUCCCCCAAGCCGAGAAGGGAAAGGAGGCAGAAGGGACAGGAGCUGCGGCCGGCCAGGAGAGGGUGCCAGACGCUGCCCGGCGCCCCCGGCCCGGUCCCAGCUCGGGGGGGUGGCGGCUGGGGGGGGGACACCCGGCUUUGGUCGCUACCUGCUGAAAGCUCCCGGCACCUCUUCUCGCUGGGCUUGGAUUUAGGGGGGUCUUUAGGGCCCCCUAAAGUGGUGUCCCCCUUCCCCGUGCGCUCGUGGGUUCCCCCCCGUGAAUCCUCGCUUGGAUUUUGGUGGGGAGCCGGGGAUGGGAGUGGAAAUGGGGCGCACCCAAACUGGGCUGGGAUGGAGAGCGGGGAUGGGUGCAGGACGUGGUCACCCUUGGGGACACUCGGAGAGGGCUUUGGGGGGACGUCCAGUCCGUCCCCAGUAUGGCAGGCUGGUCAUACUGGGAGAGAGAGCACCCGGAUGGGCUCUGCUCCUGCAGGCAAGGGGCUGCCCGCGGGUUUGGGGGACUCACGAGGGAUGUCCUGA